AGUCAACAUGCCCAGGGGACGUGGAUAACCUCGGGAAACUGAGGAUAAACCGCGAUAGGUCAUUACUUCUGGAAUGGGUAAUGACUUAAACCUAUAUGGCCCCUGGAUUGGACUGCGGCCGAUCAGGCUGUUGGUGAGGUAAUGGCCCACCAAACCUGUAACCGGUACGGGCUCUGAGAGGAGGAGCCCGGAGAUGGGCACUGAGACAAGGGCCCAGGCCCUAUGGGGCGCAGCAGGCGCGAAACCUCUGCAAUAGGCGAAAGCUUGACAGGGUUACUCUGAGUGAUUUCCGUUAAGGAGAUCUUUUGGCACCUCUAAAAAUGGUGCAGAAUAAGGGGUGGGCAAGUCUGGUGUCAGCCGCCGCGGUAAUACCAGCACCCCGAGUGGUCGGGACGUUUAUUGGGCCUAAAGCAUCCGUAGCCGGUUCUACAAGUCUUCCGUUAAAUCCACCUGCUUAACGGAUGGGCUGCGGAAGAUACUAUAGAGCUAGGAGGCGGGAGAGGCAAGCGGUACUCGAUGGGUAGGGGUAAAAUCCGUUGAUCCAUUGAAGACCACCAGUGGCGAAGGCGGCUUGCCAGAACGCGCUCGACGGUGAGGGAUGAAAGCUGGGGGAGCAAACCGGAUUAGAUACCCGGGUAGUCCCAGCUGUAAACGAUGCAGACUCGGUGAUGAGUUGGCUUAUUGCUAACUCAGUGCCGCAGGGAAGCCGUUAAGUUUGCCGCCUGGGGAGUACGGUCGCAAGACUGAAACUUAA
rnacentral:rRNA from 1 species